GGUCCGGGCUAAGCAGAACGUCCAGAAUCGCUGCCUUCGUUGAAGUAAAAAUGUUCAUACAAAUUGAGGUUUAGUGAUCCCUUUUCUGAUAUCCAGAUGCUGUUUUCGGGUCAUAGGAAAUGAUGUCGGAGACAUUAUGUACAAAAAAAAGGUUUGUCGUAUGUACGUAAGAUGGCUACUCUCCACUGCAGCACCAUCUUAUAUCUGACUCCGCAAGUGAUUUUCAUAUAAUGAGACAGCAACUUUACCAGGUAAAAAUGUAACAUCUACACUGCAAUAUUGGAGUAAAGACGCCAUAUGAUUGAACAGAUUUUUGUAUUUUUAUCAGAAGGAGCUUUUUUCCCCCAGAAGACGGAUUUAAUUAUUAAAUAUAUGCAUGCAAAACAUCACAAAUACUAUAACUAAAUCAAUCGGAAAUUGUAGGGAAUUGCAUUUUUUUAUUUUUUUAUUUAUUUCCAAAUUGUGUUUGAUUGGAUAAUAAAUCAUAAUUAAUUGGUUAAUUAAUUGACGUAUUAACUCUGACCUCCCUGACACUGCGUGGGGGCGCCAUGACAACGUCCUCCCAUCGUCAUAAAUAGAGCCGGAAGCAGAACGUCAACACCUAGAAAUCAACCAGUGGACAUAUGCAGACACAGCACAGGGUUAUAGUGUGGACGUGAAAUGCCAAGGGGAUACGGUGUCUGCCCAGAGCCUACUAACCAAUAGCCUCUUCACACGGAUAAAGACAUCAACAAACGAAGGAUGUGCCCCAAUGCUGACGAUAUAUCCCCAAAGUCUCUAUGACCAAACUUCAAAUCGGUCUGCAACUUGGAUGUAGGUCUACCUACCUAAGCUCAUUUACAACACUUCUCAACCAACCAGCCCUAACCAAAUAAACU
rnacentral:lncRNA from 13 species